rnacentral:rRNA from 1 species
AUUGAACGCUGGCGGCAUGCCUUACACAUGCAAGUCGAACGGCAGCGGGGACUUCGGUCCGCCGGCGAGUGGCGAACGGGUGAGUAAAGUAUCGGAACGUACCUUUCAGUGGGGGAUAACGUAGCGAAAGUUACGCUAAUACCGCAUAUUCUGUGAGCAGGAAAGCAGGGGAUCGCAAGACCUUGCGCUGAUUGAGCGGCCGAUAUCAGAUUAGCUAGUUGGUGAGGUAAAGGCUCACCAAGGCGACGAUCUGUAGCGGGUCUGAGAGGAUGAUCCGCCACACUGGAACUGAGACACGGUCCAGACUCCUACGGGAGGCAGCAGUGGGGAAUUUUGGACAAUGGGGGCAACCCUGAUCCAGCCAUGCCGCGUGAGUGAAGAAGGCCUUCGGGUUGUAAAGCUCUUUCGGCCGGGAAGAAAUCGUAUGGGUUAAUACCCUGUGCGGAUGACGGUACCGGCAUAAGAAGCACCGGCUAACUACGUGCCAGCAGCCGCAGUAACAC